rnacentral:tRNA from 3 species
CCGCUCAGCCAUCUCUCC